AUAACACCGGUUCCCGUAUGAUCACUGAAGUUAAGCAACAUCAUGCCUGGUCAAUACUUAGAUGACUGACCGCUUGGGAAUACGAGAUGCUGUAUG